CGCCCCUUAGGUCCCAUAGUCACUUUCACCGCAUCAGCAAGCUCUUCCACACCCUUGAGCAUCAAUGCCCGCGCCUCGACCCCGAACCGGAUCUCCUUCGCAUAGUUCCUGCUCCAGCUGAUCCUGCUCCCGAUCUGCCUGGCGCCGCCGGCUCCGGCGAUCCUGGACGACUUGGAAGCGAGACUGAGGGCUGCGCGAUACAUGAUCGGGAUUUGGUGGUUGACGAUGGGGGAGG
rnacentral:misc_RNA from 1 species